rnacentral:rRNA from 1 species
UACAGAGGGGGCAAGCGUUAUUCGGAAUUAUUGGGCGUAAAGGGCGCGUAGGCGGCGAUUCAAGUGACGGGUGAAAUCCCUCGGCUUAACCGAGGAACUGCCUGUCAGACUGGAUUGCUUGAGUCCGGGAGAGGCGAGUGGAAUUCCCAGUGUAGCGGUGAAAUGCGUAGAUAUUGGGAGGAACACCAGUGGCGAAGGCGGCUCGCUGGACCGGAACUGACGCUGAGGCGCGAAAGCUAGGGGAGCAAACGGG